GACGAACGCUGGCGGCGUGCUUAACACAUGCAAGUCGAACGGAAAGGCCCGGCGUUUGUGGGGUUCUCGAGUGGCGAACACGUGAGUAAAACGUGAGGAACAUGCCCUUGACAGAGGGAGAACUUCAGGAAACUGGGGCUAAUACCGGGGAUAAGCUCCUGCUGCAUGGUGGGCGUUGGAAAAUUUCGGCGGUUUGGGAUGGACUCGCGGCUUAUCAGCUUGUUGGGGGGGUAGUUGCGUACGAAGGCUUUGACGGGUAGCCGGCCUGAGAGCGUGACCGGGCACAUUGGGACUGCGAGACGGACCAGAAUCCUACGGGAGGCAGCAGUCGGGAGCAUUGCACAAUGGGCCGACGCCUGAUGCAGCAACGCUGCGUGCGGGAUGCAGGCCUUUGGGGUGUAAACAGCUUUCGACUGUGACGAAGCGGGAUUGACGGUACUGGGUCAAGAAGCCACGGCUAACUACGUG
rnacentral:rRNA from 1 species